UCACCAACGCUAUCUCCAGAGCCGAGGCUCCUGGACCUUGGAAUGAGUCCUUCGGUUGGCAGCCAGUUAGGCAACCGGCCUCUCUCAGGCCCCUUCUCUCCCACGGGCUGAGACACGGAUUUGUGUCUAGUCUACCUUUUUCGGCAGGAUUAAUGCACAACAAACCAUGUGAUUUCAUGUACGCUUUUUAACAGAGAAAACUGUGACUGGUCACAGGUGUCUUCCCGGGGGCUAUUGCUCAAAUGGGUUAGAUAAAAAUGCUCUUGGUGCACGACAGCAGCCCCAGCUCAGCAAAGAUCUGUGCUGUUAAGUUAUCCUGUUACUGGGUUUUACAGAAUUUCUUACAUGACCAUGUAGCAGAGACAGUGUGUUUUCAAAGAGUUUCGGGCAUAUUUUAAAGAUUCUUAUUUAGAUCGCUGUGAAACUAUGCUGAAUAACGUGAGCUGAGGCACAGUUCCAGAUUCCAAAUUUUCUGAAACCAGAAUUUUGAACUGUCUGUGCCAAGUAGUCCAGGUAACAGCACUAUGACGGAGGCAUCCUUAAAGAGGUACUCCAUGAGCAGCAGAACUAAUUUAGAUAAAUCUUUCAUGAAAAACUUCCAUGCCACAGUGUACAAAGCAUCUAGAAGAAGAAGAAGAAGAAGAAGAAGAAGGAAAAAAAGAAAAAAAAAGAAAAAAAAAAAGCCAAAAUCAUAACCUAAUUACUACUGGGCAGAGGGGAAGAAAAUCAAGAGAGCUACAAUAAUAUAUACAAUAACUUUAAUACUGAAAAACCUGUCACUGUUCCUCAAUUAAAGCCUAAAUCACUGAUAUACUUGUACACUUCCAUCUUACUCGGUUGGUGGCAGCUAAAACAGCCUGGGCACAGCUCAGCUACAAGUUGUUCCAAAUGUCCCCAUCUGUACUGGUUCUACCACCAGCCCAGGCAGAACAUCCUCCACCCUAGCCACUUCUUUAUUUGCAUGUGCGUUUUGGCUCUCCUCCAGUGAAAUCAACACAACAUUCUCUUGCUGCUAAGAGAGUUGCAACACUGGUUGGGCAGCAGCUGUGUUAGUAGCAAAACUGCCACCUCCUAUAGUUUCUUCUGUGUGUUUGUUUCCAAACAGAGCUAUAGUAACAGCUGAUUAUUGCAGUCAUUCUGAAAUUUCAGAAGUCUAGAUUUGAAAAGUGCCUUAUGACCAGCAGCUAAACUGGAAGUAACUGCAACCUGGCUGUAACAGGCUGCACUAUCAGUACCAUUUUUGUGCUGUUCACUACCAUGAGAAGCUUGGCUCCUACAAGAGGUUAACAUUAAGCAAGAUUUCAACCAGCAAGAGGCUGGAUUCUGCAGGGAUCAAGAUGACCCCUGUGAGGCAGCAAAUCAGCUGCAGGACUCCUCUAGGCUUUUCCUUCACAAUCCAGUACAAUGAAAGAAUGCACAGACACAGCAAACCAGCAUGGAUCUGGACAACAGGGGACUCACAGGGGGUUGUUAGAAGACAAAAGGAAGGAGAGAAACUUCAGAGACAAAUCUCAACAGGAGAUGGGAUUAUCAAGUGGGCUGCUGAACUGAAGUUAUCCUGAGAAAGUCAGUGUGUUGUUAUCUUAAAAAAAUACUUGCUUCCUGUAAAGUUGCACAAAAUCAAAUUCCUUUCAUGCAGUAAAGACUCAAGGCUAUAUUGCGUUUUUAUUUUCAUCUAUAUGAUUAAAGCACUGACUUGCUUCUUUAGGGUAUUUACCUUUUAGUCCUGUUACAGCAAACCCACAGUAUCAGAGAAUACAUGGCUCAGCUCCUGCCAAGAGGAGGAGAUUCACAGCUGCCCUCUUGGCAUGCCCCCGCCCCUGAAUCCCAGCACCCUGUGGAUCAACAGCAGGGGUCGUGUCCCUGCAGUGUGUCCUGCUCUGACAGGUGCUGGCAUUUGGCAGCAGUCUCAGCAAGCAGGCAGUUAUCAGACAGGAAGGCUUGGCUGCAAGUCAGAAAGCCAAGCUCAUGGAAACCAUGGAAAGACACAGAGGAUACAAAGGUGUUAAAUCCCUUCUGUCCUUGAACAGGCAACGACUGCUCUAAACUAUGCUGACUGCCAGCAGUUGCAGGUGAUUUUUCAGAAACUAGAACACCAACAAGCAAAAAUAAUCUGAAUUUAAGCACAGACAAAUAUUUACCAGAAAAUUUAGAGGAUGUCUCUUAGCUCUUCAUCAUCUUCUGGCUCAUGACACACUAAAUUAUUCGAGGUGCUCAGAUCAUGCUGUCUGGUUUAGCUGCAUCUUCAGAUCUGGUUUGAAGCAGUAUACCUACUGUUUUUCCUCCAAAUGAAGCCUAGCCUCUCCAUCCUUCAACAUCAGAUACCAUCCCUCCACUUUCUUCAGGAAUUGCAAGGACUGUUCUGCUUCCACUGUUUUAUAACUGUGACCCUACAGUUUUAGUGCUAAACCAACAGGUAGGACUCCCUUAAAUCUGCUAAAGACACUCCACUUGCACAGAGCUUGUUUUCAAUUCAUUGUGUUUAAAUGCCAAGAAUUCCUCUGAAAGCAGCACACAGGGCAGAAGGGCAAGUUAUUUUCCCUUUUCCCUGCCUCUCCCUGAUCACACAUUUCCAAAACAUCAGCACAAGAGCAGUCUUCAAUUGGUAAGUCUCAGCUAAACUUUAGAAAGAAAGGAUUGUUGUCAAUUAAAAUUGCUUUGUAUCUCAGCUUACUAAACUAAUGUUCUUAAUUACACAUUAGCAGCCAUGCUCAAAGCAUGGUUACCCUAAUCAGGGAAAGAGAUCAGGAGAAAUUACUUCAUGUCUUCUCAGCCAACUUCAUCUACUUUUAGCACACCACCUUCCCCUGGACUGAUGCUAUUCCUGCUCAUUUACCUUACACUAAACAGUGACAUUCCCAGGAGACCUAUGCAUGUAACCUACCAAACCAGAGACUGAUUUUCCAUAAAAGUCUAUUCAAAAAUCUGCUUUAAAAAAUAUCAUGAUGCUGUCAUCCUACCUCAAGCUGCAGUUUCAUCUUUUGGGGUGGGGUUUUACCAUAGAGAAUGGGCAUUGUAAUGACAUGGCACACUUGUCGGGAAAAGCCCUUUAUACUUUUUAGGUUGCAACCACACUAGAUUAUUUGCAGCUACUUGUAAGUUCUAAGGUUCAUCAAAGCAGAACGAUUUUGUCCUUCUAAUUCACAUAGAUCAACAUAGAUACUUCUCUUCCAAAAUUGUACAUGUACUUUGCACAGAUGUUAAAACUACACGAGGUUUAAGACAGUAGAAACAUGAGAUUUGUUGACCUGCACAACCUGAGUAUGUUACUCUUCAGUUACUUUAAAGACACAGAACUGC